GAUGGCUGGAUUCAAUAAGAAAGGAUAAAAAAUUAACCUGACAAGUAACAAAAAGUGGACUACCUGAGUUUCAUUGGUCCUACUAAAGGGACUACAAAGAACAAGAAAGAAACAGCACUAGGUGUGAAAAGGUCAAAAAGCAGACUGUGUGACAAGAGAGAAAUUGGAGAAGACUGAGAUAAUGCCCAAUUAGAUCAUGCAGUUCACCUCCCUGGGGCCUGUGACAGACUGUUGGAUUUCAUGGAUAUGCCGACUUUCCCCCCUCUCCCUGGCUGACGUGCUGUCCCAUUUGACUGUGCUAAGGACGAUGCUCCCCUCUGCUGAGCAUACCACGGAGCUCCUGGAGAACUCAGAGUCUUUGAGGGAAGAUGGG